ACUCCUACGGGAGGCAGCAGUGGGGAAUUUUGGACAAUGGGCGCAAGCCUGAUCCAGCAAUGCCGCGUGAGUGAAGAAGGCCUUCGGGUUGUAAAGCUCUUUCAGUCGAGAAGAAAAGGCUGCAGUAAUAACUGCUAGUUAUGACGGUAUCGACAGAAGAAGCACCGGCUAACUACGUGCCAGCAGCCGCGGUAAU
rnacentral:rRNA from 1 species